UACGUAGGUGGCAAGCGUUGUCCGGAUUUACUGGGUGUAAAGGGCGUGUAGGCGGGUUAUCAAGUCAGAUGUGAAACCCCGGGGCUUAACCCCGGAACUGCAACUGAAACUGAUGAUCUUGAGUACUGUAGAGGAAAGUGGAAUUCCUAGUGUAGCGGUGAAAUGCGUAGAUAUUAGGAGGAACACCGGUGGCGAAGGCGGCUUUCUGGACAGAAACUGACGCUGAGGCGCGAAAGCGUGGGGAGCAAAC
rnacentral:rRNA from 1 species